rnacentral:rRNA from 1 species
CCUACGGGUGGCAGCAGUGGGGAAUAUUGCACAAUGGGGGAAACCCUGAUGCAGCGACGCCGCGUGAGUGAAGAAGUAUUUCGGUAUGUAAAGCUCUAUCAGCAGGGAAGAAAAUGACGGUACCUGAUUAAGAAGCCCCGGCUAACUACGUGACAGCAGCCGCGGUAAUACGGAGGGGGCAAGCGUUAUCCGGAUUUACUGGGUGUAAAGGGAGCGUAGACGGCAGCGCAAGUCUGAAGUGAAAUGCCGGGGCUUAACCCCGGAACUGCUUUGGAAACUGUGCAGCGAGAGUGCAGGAGAGGUAAGUGGAAUUCCGAGUGUAGCGGUGAAAUGCGUAGAUAUUAGGAGGAACACCAGUGGCGAAGGCGGCCUGCUGGACAUUAACUGACGCUGAGGCGCGAAAGCGUGGGGAGCAAACAGGAUUAGAUACCCUGGUAGUC